ACGAGGUUUUAAUUGUUAGGUUAGAGUUGAGCUGGUUAAUCUAAUUAGUAUGUGCUUACUCUAAUCGAAACAAGUCCACUCAUUACUUAACACUUGUGAACUUAUUCAUUACAAACAUUAUUAUUUGUUAUUGGAACGUUUGAAUUAUUAAAAAGUUAAUA
rnacentral:misc_RNA from 1 species